rnacentral:rRNA from 1 species
UACGUAGGGGGCGAGCGUUGUCCGGAUUUAUUGGGCGUAAAGAGCGUGUAGGCGGCCAUGUAGGUCUGCUGUGAAAACUCGAGGCUCAACCUCGAGACGUCGGCGGAAACCAUCUGGCUAGAGUCCGGAAGAGGAGAGUGGAAUUCCUGGUGUAGCGGUGGAAUGCGCAGAUAUCAGGAGGAACACCGGUGGCGAAGGCGGGUCUCUGGGCCGAUAUUGACGCUGAGGAGCGAAAGCGUGGGGAGCGAACAGG